rnacentral:piRNA from 1 species
AGGACUGAAAUACCAACUUGCCCACCAUA